rnacentral:rRNA from 1 species
AACGAACGCUGGCGGCAGGCUUAACACAUGCAAGUCGAGCGCGUAGCAAUACGAGCGGCAGACGGGUGAGUAACGCGUGGGAAUCUACCGAGCCCUAAGGAAUAGCUCCGGGAAACUGGAAUUAAUACCUUAUACGCCCUUUGGGGGAAAGAUUUAUCGGGGUUUGAUGAGCCCGCGUUGGAUUAGCUAGUUGGUGGGGUAAAGGCCUACCAAGGCAACGAUCCAUAGCUGGUCUGAGAGGAUGAUCAGCCACAUUGGGACUGAGACACGGCCCAAACUCCUACGGGAGGCAGCAGUGGGGAAUAUUGGACAAUGGGCGCAAGCCUGAUCCAGCCAUGCCGCGUGAGUGAUGAAGGCCCUAGGGUUGUAAAGCUCUUUCACCGGUGAAGAUAAUGACGGUAACCGGAGAAGAAGCCCCGGCUAGCUUCGUGCCAGCAGCCGCCGUAA